AUGACGACACUUAUUUAUUUGCAAAUUCCUGUCCCUGAACCGAUUCCUGGCGAUCCUGUUCCAGUGCCCGAUCCGAUCCCUCGCCCGCAACCCAUGCCUGACCCACCACCCGAUGAAGAACCGAUUAAAUUGUCGCAUCGUGAGCGUAGAUCUGCGAGGAUACGCGCCUGCUAA
rnacentral:antisense_RNA from 1 species